CUUUUGGGAAGGGUCUCGGCGAAGUUGCCCCCCGACAUCGGCUUACUCCGCCCCAGGCUGAGGCGCCGGCGGGUGAAAACCGCCCAGUUUCACGAUUAUUGCUGCAUCCGCCCCGUCCCGAAUCCCGCCAUUCGGGGCUGCCCUGAAAAUCCCCGCCGAGGAGUGAGUUGCCCGAUGCUCAGAGUGCUGGAGGAGUUUCAUCCUUUGCUUUUAAAAAUACACCCAUGGCAUUGCUGAGGCAUGCAGAAGUUGAACCAGCUGAUGUGUGGCUGGUGAUAGUCAGCCUGCGGUUACAGUAUCUGCAUGCAGAAAAAAAAAAGCCACUGACAAUGUAUCUCCGGGUGUUUAUUUUGGCACAUGGCUGCAUUAUGUGGACCUGGCUGCACCUGUGCAGUUUUGAACAUCUGCCUGCUGAGAGCUCCUGUUGCUCUACUACCAGCUGCUGUUGCUCUUCGUCUCAGUCCCCCAGCUGUGUCCUGGAUCCCAGAUGCUCCCCACCCACUUAACUAAUAUUAUUAUUAAUACUAUUGCACAUCGAAGUUACAAAACAGUAACUCACUGAGAUACUUUGCUUAAAGAUUUUGGAGUUGAUUUGCAUACAUUGUACAUAAUUGUACAUACAAAGUAUGUACAGCAGUCCAGGAAAUCAUGUCCCAUGGCAGGUGGAGUAGGUAUUACCUAAUAAGAAAAAUAUUCUGGAAAUACUAAAGAAAGGUAACAACAAUUAAAGCUGUAGCUCAGGUUCCAGUCCAAGAUCCAUUUUCUCCCUUUAUCUCAAAGAACAAACUAUGUUAGUGCUAACUUCCAACAGAAAAGUCUGUGUUGUUCAUGGAGUAGUGGAAAUGAAGCUUGUUUUGCCAAGGAUCUGUCAUUUGUGUUAAACCUCACGUAGCACCAGCCGUUCCUCUGAUGCCCUCCACUGUGGUUCCCCAUUUCUUCCCCCUAACACUUCUAGCCAGGCAGGACUUAGUGCAUACUGUGGUUUGUAAGUAAGCAGAACUAGUAACAGGUUUAAAAGUUUCUGAGGGGCAGCAGGCAGACAAACCAAUCUCGUAAGCCUUCUUUCCUUAAGAAAUCAGGAUCAAACCAUGCAUUUGGCAUAUUGGCAGUUUAUUCCCCCACCAACUGCUUUGCCUUUUUAGCUCUCUCUUUUUUUCUAAUGAUACUUGCCAGUUUUUAUGGCCUGAAGUUAUAUGUCUUUUUGUCUUCUAGGCUUCUUUUUUCAAGCUAGAGAUAUUGCCUGGCAAUAAAUUUGAACUCUGAUGCGCUCUAGAAUUCUAC
rnacentral:lncRNA from 1 species